GUUUAAGUGUGUCCUGUAAAUAGAAUAUUUUCAGCCCUUUACCUGCUGUCAGACAGCUCUUUACGACGGUGAACUGAAGCUGUUAUCUCUGCUCUCUUCAAGGCCACCACUC